rnacentral:rRNA from 1 species
CGCCCUCCCUCCGCCGCCAUCAGACUCCGUACGGGAGGCGAGCAGGUGGGGAAGUUAGUUGGACAAGUGGGCGCAACGCCUGAUCCAGCAAUGCCGCGUGUGUGAAGAGCUUCGGGUUGUAAGCACUUUUAUCAGGAGCGAAAUACUACCGGUUAAUAACCGGUGGGCUGACGGUACCUGAGGAAUAAGCACCGGCUAACUUCGUGCCAGCAGCCGCGGUAAUAC